GUGAAUACAAGAUAAUUUUCUUCUGCGUCUUUCCAUCCGCCCUUGCCCCUCAAAAACGGAUCCCCCACUCCCAACCAAGCAGAUGGGCUUGCUGAAACUUUAGAGGGUUCCGGAGUUCGCGAUGGUAAUGCGAGCCUUAGGAGUACCCGACGCCGAACCGAGGGCCUCAACCUUGUCAACGACCUCUAUGCCCUCAACAACCUCGCCAAACACGACGUGGGCACCAUCAAGCCAGGACGUUACGACGGUGGUGAUGAAGAAUUGCGAGC
rnacentral:misc_RNA from 1 species